rnacentral:lncRNA from 1 species
CUGAUGUGGUAUACUCCUCAAUGCCAUCGGAAGAAUCCCGGAACAUGUUCCAGUCUGUGAUAGCAAAACAGUCCUUUAGUUCAGCGUCUGCUUCAUCUGACCACUUUUUUAUUGACCGAGUCACUGGUGCUUCCUGCUUUAAUUUGUGCUUGUAAGCAGGAAUCAGGAGGAUAGAGUUGUGGUCGGAUUUACAAAAUGGAGGGCGAGGGAGAGCUUUGUACGCGUCUCUGUGUGUGGAGUACAGGUGAUCUAGAAUUGUUUUCCCUCUGGUUGCACAUUUAACAUGUUGAUAGAAAUUUGGUAGAACUGAUUUUAGUUUCCCAGCAUUGAAGUCUCCGGGCACUAGGAGCGCCGCCUCUGGGUGAGUGGUUUCCUGUUUGCUUAUUUCCUUAUACAGCUGACUGAGUGCGGUCUUAGUGCCAGCAUCUGUCUGUGGUGGUAAAUAAACAGCCACGAAAAGUAUAGCUGAAAACUCCCUAGGCAAGUAGUGUGGCCUGCAAUUUACCACAAUAUACUCUACUUCAGGCGAGCAAAAUCUAAAGACUUCCUUAGAUUUCGUGCACCAGCUGUUGUUUACAAAUAUGCACAGACCGCUCCCCCUCGUCUUAUCGGAGUGUGCAGUUCUAUCUUGCCGGUGCAGCGUAUAUCCCGCUAGCUGAAUAUCCAUGUCAUCAUUCAGCCACGAUUCCGUGAAACAUAGGAUAUUACAGUUUUUGAUGUCCCGUUGGUAGGAUAUUCGUGAUCGUACCUCGUCUAAUUUAUUGUCCAAUGAUUGUACGUUGGCGAGUAAUAUUGACGGUAACGGCAGCUUUCCCACUCGCCUUCUCCGGGUCCUGACAGGGCAUCCGGCUCUUUGUCCUCUGUACCUGCGUCGCUUCCUCUUGCAAAUAACGAGGAUGUCGGCCUUGUUGUAGAAAAAAUCUUUGUCUAAUCCGAGGUGAGUGAUUGCUGUCCUGAUAUCCAGAAGCUCUUUUUUGCCGUAAGAUACGGUUGCAGAAACAUUAUGAACAAAAUAAGUUAUAAAUAACGCAAAAAAACACAUAAUAGCACAAUUGGUUGGGCGCCAUAAAACUGCUGCCAUUUUAAUCAGGACCAGUGUGGUGGUACAGGCUGGGAAGGCUGAGGGUUAUAUGGACCAGUGUGGUGGUACAGGCUGGGAAGCCUGAGGGUUAUAUGGACCAGUGUGGUGGUACAGGCUGGGAAGGCUGAGGGUUAUAUGGACCAGUGUGGUGGUACAGACUGGCAAGGCUGAGGGUUAUAUGGACCAGUGUGGUGGUACAGGCUGGGAAGGCUGAGGGUUAUAUGGACCAGUGUGGUGGUACAGGCUGGGAAGGCUGAGGGUUAUAUGGACCAGUGUGGUAGGUACAGACUGGGAAGGCUGAGGGUUAUAUGGACCAGUGUGGUGGUACAGACUGGGAAGGCUGAGGGUUAUAUGGACCAGUGUGGUAGGUACAGACUGGGAAGGCUGAGGGUUAUAUGGACCAGACAUUUAGUGGGUGCUAGAAUAAAAGCUGUGUACGGUACUCACGCCUGGCAGCAUGACAUGUCCCCGUUGGUUUGACAAUAGCAGUUCAUGCAAUCACUGGUCCUCCAGCGGGACCCAAUAUCAUGCCACGUCCCAUCCUUGUUGUAAAGACACUGCCUCAUACCUAUACAAUACAUGCCUAUUCAAUAUAUCAUAUCAAUGUGUUUGUUGUCUUUUUCAAUGAGAUUCAAGAUUCAAGUGUAUUAAAAACAUCAUUGCAUAACAAUAUGAAAUGUCCUUUACAGGUCAUAAAAUAAAAUACAAAAAUAAAACCCUAAAAUCACAUAAUGAUUUGGAACAAGAGGUUAUUUUAUUAGGUUGAUAAAUGUACAGGAGUGUGUACAGGAGUGUGUGUGUGUGCGUGCGUGCGUGCGUGCAUGUUACAACACCAUUUACUUUUGCCCAGAGCCCUAUGGUUGUGUGUGUGCGCGUGUGUGUUAACAGCUGGUUAUCUUUGUCCUUUACCUGGUUCUGCUGGUUUAAACCAGCAGCCAGCAUGGAAAAGUGGCAGCAGUACACACAGGAUUACAGCUACAGCCAAGGACCUCUUCCCAGGGAGAAAGAAGAAAAGCAUGUUAUCUGAAUCCCCUUUAUUCUCCUAGUAGGCUACAUUUACAGUACUUGCUGACCACAAUGAAGAGAAUAUACAGACAGGAUACAUAGAUGUAGACAGAGGGCAAUAAAACAUAGGCCUUUCAUCAAACCGUCUAAACAUUAAAGAUGAAAAACUAGCAAAAUGAACUUUAACAUUUUAACAUGUGGAGGUGAUAGGUCAUUAACCCUCCUCUGGAUCUCUGGGUAAUAAAACAUAGACCUUUCAUCAAACCGUCUAAACAUUAAAAGAUGAAAAACUAGCAUAGUGAACUGACACAUUUGAACAUGUGGAGGUGAUAGGUCAUUAACCCUCUAGAUCUCUGGGGAAUAAAAUAACCUAAAGUCAUUUCUAAUUGUAAUUACUCAUACAUAACAUGCAAUGAUAGAAGGAACUUACCAUGAUUGACAGGAAUUUAGACUGGAUUCACAGGUAGAUUCUGU